AUUGAUCAACACGUUCGACGGCUUGACAUCUGAAGGUGACACACACUGGGUCUGUCACUCUCCACUUGCUCUCCCGACUCUCCUCGCUAUCACAAGGGGGCGCCAACGGAUUCCAAAUGAGCAGCAACAAUGACAGAUUCCCAAGCCUGGGAUUGAUGGAUUCAACUUCCAUCCUCUGCGAUGUCUGGCUUUCCCCCAACGGCACUUCUCCCCCAGCCUGACCCACAUCCCAAGACCCAAGAGAUCUCGUGGGUGACCUCGCUCCCUGAGGACGACACAUCUGGACGAGGAGAGGUAAACCCCAGGCAUUCCCUGGCCCCCAUGGCUACUGACUUCCUCCCUCUUCCAAACCCUCCAUGCUGGCAACCUACGGUCCUCCUACCUCCCGGAAGAGCGCACCAUAGAAGGUGACCGUGAAAUGACAAUCCACCGUCCUCAUGGAGAUGUCCAGAUCCAUCAGGAGCCUCUUCUGCUCCUGACUGUUCACUGUCGCCCGGAUUCGCUGGACGGAAACAGAGGGGGAGAUCCGUGGUUACUCUCCUCGAAGACGGUAGUCUCGGAGGGGCCCUCGGGUUAUGAACUGCAGUUUUGAUUUCCUUGCAAUGGCAGAGGAUUUCCAGAUGGAUCCCUCAAAAACCCAAAACAUGUAGGGAUUUAGGAAAAUAAGACCCAUCAUUCUAGACCCAAUGGACUGGGACCUGGUAUGAUAAUCUGUCUCUGACCGUGACAACAAAGGAUGUUUGGGGGAAUGAAAAGAUGGUGAUCUUGAACAGAUGUCUUCGUGGACCUCUUAGGUAAGUAACAAAGCACCUUUAUUUCACCAAUUUGUCCACCACCCCAUGACAUCGGAAGGAAGGAAACAGAAAGUUGGAUAGAACUUUGAGGGGGUCAGUAAUUUCUGCUUCUAAUUAACCAUUUCUGUUUUGUCCAGAACCCACACACUGGGGGAAUAUUUGGGUGAUUUCCUGAAGGUUCAGUGAGUAAUAGUUUCUUUCCCAUUCACAAAGGCUACCAAGGGGGUUGCUACAAAGAACUGAGAACUUAGUGGCUCUAGAAGAAGGACCUCAAGAAAAUGCUGGUCCUGUCUACCCACCACUGGGAUUCUUCGAGAGUUAAAUUUGGCCGUCUAUUCCACCAUAAGGAUUCUCUGAAAGUUAAAGAUGGUCCUAUUGCCCACCAAUGGGAUUCUCUGAAUGUUAAGGGCUGGCAUCUUAGAUAUCCCACCGCCAUCUGGGGACAUUCUGUGGAUUGAGUUGGGAGUUGCUCCUCCAGACCCACCCGUCAGGACCUUGAUGGACUACAAGGGAUUUCAGAGGCAUUUCUGGUUUGUCAACCCAGACAAACCCGGCUCUCUCAUUCACCCCACACAUCCAAUCCGUCACCGAGACCUGCUGGUCUCAACUUUAUAAUAUCACCAAG